ACUGAAUAGGUUGCCCCGAUUAUUGGUUUCCUCUAGAAAAUAACUGCUAUUUAUUUUCUAAUGCCACUGCAACAUUUAGUGAAGCACAACAUGUUUGUGCUAGAGACAGCGCUUACAUCCUUGAAGAUUUAAGCCCAGAGGAAAAGUCUUUUACAAAGUCGAGAGUUUUUACCUUCAUGUGGAUUGGCGUGACAGAUAAUCUGAAAGAAGGAGUCUAUGUCUAUGAGUCUACGGGAUCCAGAGUGACCAAUGGCGAUUGGGUCAAAGGUCAACCACAAGGAGGAAGAAAUGAAAACUGUGCAGUAGCUUUGAAAGAUAGCAAUUGGCAGUGGCAUGAUUAUCCAUGUAGUCAUAAGUUUGAUUAUGUCUGCAAGAAAAGUAAAGAAGGAUUAGUGUAAUUGCUGACAAAUCUGUAAACAAACUAAGGAAUGUUAAUUUUGAUGUCAUCAUGACAUAAUGAAUUUCUUUUCUCCAUAUUAUCCUUAUCAAAAACAUG